CGAGUGGGCCGGGUGGCCGCUCACGGAAAUUUUCGUGAGAGGAAAGUCCGGACUCCAAAGGGUAAGGUGCUGGGUAACGCCCAGGCGGAGCAAUCCGACACCAGCGCCACAGAAAAUAUACCGCCAAUGGCAAAUUCCUUUGUUUUUGCCAGGAAAGGGUGAAAUGGUGGGUUAAGAGCCGACCCCGCCUGUGGUGACACAGGGGCCAGGGUAAUGGUCACCGGGAGCAAAACCAAAUAGGGGAACGAUCCCCGCUUUGCCGAAG
rnacentral:RNase_P_RNA from 1 species